AGAGUUUGAUCCUGGCUCAGAUUGAACGCUGGCGGCAUGCCUUACACAUGCAAGUCGAACGGUAACGCGGGGCAACCUGGCGACGAGUGGCGAACGGGUGAGUAAUACAUCGGAACGUGCCCAGUAGUGGGGGAUAGCCCGGCGAAAGCCGGAUUAAUACCGCAUACGACCUGCGGGUGAAAGCGGGGGAUCGCAAGACCUCGCGCUAUUGGAGCGGCCGAUGUCAGAUUAGGUAGUUGGUGAGGUAAAGGCUCACCAAGCCUUCGAUCUGUAGCUGGUCUGAGAGGACGACCAGCCACACUGGGACUGAGACACGGCCCAGACUCCUACGGGAGGCAGCAGUGGGGAAUUUUGGACAAUGGGCGCAAGCCUGAUCCAGCCAUGCCGCGUGCGGGAAGAAGGCCUUCGGGUUGUAAACCGCUUUUGUCAGGGAAGAAACGCUCUGGGCUAAUACCCUGGGGUAAUGACGGUACCUGAAGAAUAAGCACCGGCUAACUACGUGCCAGCAGCCGCGGUAAUACGUAGGGUGCAAGCGUUAAUCGGAAUUACUGGGCGUAAAGCGUGCGCAGGCGGUUAUGCAAGACAGAUGUGAAAUCCCCGGGCUUAACCUGGG
rnacentral:rRNA from 1 species